rnacentral:rRNA from 1 species
GGAUGCGAUCAUACCAGCACUAAAGCACCGGAUCCCAUCAGAACUCCGAAGUUAAGCGUGCUUGGGCGAGAGUAGUACUAGGAUGGGUGACCUCCUCGGAAGUCCUCGUGUUGCAUUCCC